GACGAACGCUGGCGGCGUGCUUAACACAUGCAAGUCGAACGAAGUGGCGAACGGGUGAGUAACGCGUAAUCAACCUGCCCUUCCGAGGGGGACACCAGUUGGAAACGACUGCUAAUACCGCAUACUGAAGGAGUGGAUUGCGUCUUAUUAGCUAGUUGGAGGGGUAACGGCCCACCAGGGCGAUGAUCAGUAGCCGGGGUGAGAGGAUGAACGGCCACAUUGGGACUGAGACACGGCCCAGACUCCUACGGGAGGCAGCAGUGGGGAAUCUUCCGAAAUGGACGAAAGUCUGACGGAGCAACGCCGCGUGAGUGAUGACGGCCUUCGGGUUGUAAAGCUCUGUUAAUCGGGACGCGGUACCGGAAUAGAAAGACACGGCUAACUACGUGCCAGCAGCCGCGGUAAUUC
rnacentral:rRNA from 1 species